CCUACGGGAGGCUGCAGUGAGGAAUCUUGGUCAAUGGGCGCAAGGCCUGAACCAGCCACGUAGCGUGAAGGAAGACUGCCCUUAGGGUUGUAAACUUCUUUUAUAAGGGAAUAACGUCAGUAACGUGUUACUGAUUGCAUGUACCUUAUGAAUAAGGAUCGGCUAACUCCGUGCCAGCAGCCGCGGUAAUACGGAGGAUCCGAGCGUUAUCCGGAUUUAUUGGGUUUAAAGGGUGCGUAGGCGGGAGCGGAAGUCAGCUGUGAAAUUUUAUGGCUCAACCAUAAACUUGCAGUUGAAACUCCGUUUCUUGAGUACACAUGAGGUGGGCGGAAUUUGUGGUGUAGCGGUGAAAUGCUUAGAUAUCACGAGGAACUCCGAUUGCGAAGGCAGCUCACUGGGGUGUAACUGACGCUAAUGCGCGAAGGUGUGGGUAUCAAACAGGCUUAGAUACCCCGGUAGUC
rnacentral:rRNA from 1 species